AUUGAACGCUGGCGGCAGGCUUAACACAUGCAAGUCGAGCGGAGAGAGGUAGCUUGCUACUGAUCUUAGCGGCGGACGGGUGAGUAAUGCUUAGGAAUCUGCCUAUUAGUGGGGGACAACAUUUCGAAAGGAAUGCUAAUACCGCAUACGUCCUACGGGAGAAAGCAGGGGAUCUUCGGACCUUGCGCUAAUAGAUGAGCCUAAGUCGGAUUAGCUAGUUGGUGGGGUAAAGGCCUACCAAGGCGACGAUCUGUAGCGGGUCUGAGAGGAUGAUCCGCCACACUGAGACUGAGACACGGCCCAGACUCCUACGGGAGGCAGCAGUGGGGAAUAUUGGACAAUGGGCGCAAGCCUGAUCCAGCCAUGCCGCGUGUGUGAAGAAGGCCUUAUGGUUGUAAAGCACUUUAAGCGGGGAGGAGGCUACUUUAGUUAAUACCUAGAGAUAGUGGACGUUACUCGCAGAAUAAGCACCGGCUAACUCUGUGCCAGCCGCCGCCGUAACAC
rnacentral:rRNA from 1 species